GCGUUGUUCGGAUUUACUGGGCGUAAAGGGCGCGUAGGCGGCAAUUCAAGUCAUCUGUGAAAUCUCCGGGCUUAACUCGGAACGGUCAGAUGAUACUGCUUUGCUAGAGUGCAGAAGGGGCAAUCGGAAUUCUUGGUGUAGCGGUGAAAUGCGUAGAUAUCAAGAGGAACACCUGAGGUGAAGACGGGUUGCUGGGCUGACACUGACGCUGAGGCGCGAAAGCUAG
rnacentral:rRNA from 1 species